AGCACAGGGCUUGCAGCUGGCACGUGCUGCUGAGUGCAGGGGGUUGCACAGGUGAGACAGUGGCCCUGUCCUGGUCACAGUGGCUUCCAGCUGAAUCUGCAGCAGAAAGGACCAGGAGAAAAAAGCCAAUUCAUGUAAAAAUGACCCACCAAGGAGGCAUUUAGCAUUCUGUACUUUAGGAGAGUGCAUCUAUUACAGUGGGUGCUUUGCACAUGGAAGGAACAAUUCCCUCCUGAGGGAACUCUUGCAAGGGCGGGAAAAGUCCAGAGGGAAGCAUUGCCACAACUGCUGCCUGUCAGAGCGGGGACAGUCCUGCUGCACGUGCUGAUGUGUCAGAGCAGUAGGGACAUGCCUGAAGGGCCACAGGCUGUUGCCAGCAGCACACCUGAGUGUGGCAGGGCCUGUGAGAAACAGAGCUGCAGAAACCGCUAGGUUUCCUGCCACAACUACUACACCAUCUGUCCUCUCCUCAGAGGAACGUCCUGUGGAGCGGUGGUGAAAAGGAGUGGAUUUUGUGUCAGCAGCAUGUGGGAUUUCCUUUGGUCACUUAACAUCAUCUUAUCAUCUGGACACCAGCACUCAGAACAGCACGGCAGCUCUACUUCAUGGCUUCUACUUCAUGGCUGCAGGACUGCCAGCUGAAAAUUCAUCUGAAAUGUGACUACAGCAGUGCAAAUGCUCAGCUUGGUAAG